rnacentral:rRNA from 1 species
GACGAACGCUGGCGGCGUGCUUAACACAUGCAAGUCGAACGGAAAGGCCCUGCUUUUGUGGGGUGCUCGAGUGGCGAACGGGCGAGUAACACGUGAGUAACCUGCCCUUGACUUUGGGAUAACUUCAGGAAACUGGGGCUAAUACCGGAUAGAAGCUCCUGCUGCAUGGUGGGGGUUGGAAAGUUUCGGCGGUUGGGGAUGGACUCGCGGCUUAUCAGCUUGUUGGUGGGGUAGUGGCUUACCAAGGCGUUGACGGGUAGCCGGCCUGAGGGGGUGACCGGCCACAAUGGGACUGAGGUACGGCCCAGACGCCUACGGUAGGCAGCAGUGGGGAGUAUUGUACAAUGGGCGGAAGCCUGAUGCGACAACGCCGCGUGCGGGAUGACGGCCUUCGGGUUGAAAACCGCUUUCGCCUGUGACGAGGCGUGAGUGACGGUAAUGGGUAAAGAAGCACCGGCUAACUACGUG